AAAGUUCUUUUCAGAAUCUCUUUUUGGAAGAUUGAAAAUAUUUAGUGGAGCACAAGUAGAAUUUCCCUUCAAUUUCCUUGUCUAGAUCUGUGCUGCAUGGCUACUCUUAGCUGCUAGGGAGAAUUGGAAAGAGAAUAUUUGGUAUUUUCUAUUUCUAGAGAGAAGGCUAGUAAUAUUAAUAGCAAGAAUAAAGCAAGAAUAGCAAGAAUAAAGACAUGGCGAAAGCAGAUAUUACCAAGCAUGUCAAUCAGGACAGAUUAGAUAUGUAGCAACAUUAGAGAUUUAUUUCUUGAUUUAUGAAAUGUCCAUUGUGGUCAUCUGGAGAAUCUGUUCUACAUCUCAGGGACACAGCCUGAUAGAAGGUCACACCUAAAACAGACUUCUAUCAUUAGGGGAAGUGGAUCUGUGCUUCUGUGAUUGGGGGUAGUGAACAUGGAAAUCACACAUCAACUAUUGAAGCUGCCACAUGACUUUUCUUUUUAUUACCAGCCCUGCAGGUUACCAUAAUAUACAAGUGCUCAAGCCUCAGUUUCUUCAUCUCAACAUACCAAACUUAAUUUCUCUUCAAAAUAACUGGAGCUAGUUUUACUCUAGGAAAAAUAUUUUCAGAAAGAAAAGAUGAUGGAAAGGAAUUACAAUUUAUAUUACAGACUGUAUGCAUUCCUUUAGCAAAUGUUAAGCACCUGUGUACUUUGUGACUGGCAUUGUGCUAAGCCCUAAGGAUAAAACAAGGUUGAAGGCACAGCUAGUUUUUUCCAUCAAGGAACUUAAGAGUUUAUUGGACAAAGUAGACAAGUAAACAGGCAAUCACUAUACAGAGUGACAACAUGGCUACAGUAGUUCAGAGUAUUGGAGACAGCACCUCAUUGGGUCUAG
rnacentral:lncRNA from 1 species